rnacentral:rRNA from 1 species
GACGAACGCUGGCGGCGUGCUUAACACAUGCAAGUCGAACGGAAAGGCCCCUUUUGCGGUCCUCGUGUGGCGAACGGGUGCGUAAAACGUGAGUAACCUUCCCUGGACUUCGGGAUAACCUUAGGAAACUGGGGCCAAUACCGGAUAGGAAUCCUUGCUGCAAGGUGGGGGUUGGAAAGCUUCGGCGGUUUUGGAUGGACUGGCGGCUUAUCGGCUUGUUGGUGGGGUAGUGGCUUACCAAGGCUUUGACCGGUAGCCGGCCAGAGAGGGUGACCGGCCACACUGGCACUGAGAGACGGCAGAGGCUGCGACGGGUGGAAACUGUGGGGAAGAUUGCACCAGGCGCGGCGGCUGGAUGCAGCAGGUCCGCGUGCGGGAAGACGGCCUUCGUGUUGUAAAACGGUUUCAGCAGGGGAGAAGCUUGUGGUGACGGUACCUGCAGAAGAAGCACCGGCUAACUACGUG